rnacentral:rRNA from 1 species
GACGAACGCUGGCGGCGUGCUUAACACAUGCAAGUCGAACGAAGUGGCGAACGGGUGAGUAACGCGUAAUCAACCUGCCCUUCAGAGGGGGACAACAGUUGGAAACGACUGCUAAUACCGCAUACUGAAGGAGGGGAGUGCGUCUGAUUAGCUAGUUGGAGGGGUAACGGCCCACCAAGGCGAUGAUCAGUAGCCGGUCUGAGAGGAUGAACAGCCAAAUUGGGACUGGGAAACGGCCCAGACUCCUACGGGGGGCAGCAGUGGGGAAACUUCCGAAAUGGGCGAAAGUCUGACGGAGCAACGGCGCGUGAGUGAUGACGGCCUUCGGGUUGUAAAGCUAUGUUAAUCGGGACGCGGUACCGGAAUAGAAAGCCACGGCUAACUACGUGCCAGCAGCCGCGGUAAUAC